rnacentral:rRNA from 1 species
GACGUAGGGCGCGAGCGUUGUCCGGAUUUAUUGGGCGUAAAGAGCUCGUAGGCGGCUUGUCGCGUCGACUGUGAAAACCCACAGCUUAACUGUGGGCCUGCAGCCGAUACGGGCGAGCUAGAGUUCGGUAGGGGAGACUGGAAUUCCUGGUGUAGCGGUGAAAUGCGCAGAUAUCAGGAGGAACACCGGUGGCGAAGGCGGGUCUCUGGGCCGAUACUGACGCUGAGGAGCGAAAGCGUGGGGAGCGAACAGG